AAUAAGUGCAGUUUUGCACUAUUCACGUUCAACGUUUGAUCGUUCGUCUUAUUUAAAAAAUUUUUAUGAUUAGUAUUUUUAUUGCUAUUAGAUAAUAAAACAUGAAUAGUACUUUAUGUGUGACUAAAUUUUUUUAUUUUUUUAUAAAUUUUUUAAAUAAGACGAACGGUCAAAUGUUGAAUACGGAUAUCCACAGCUGCACUUAUU
rfam:Oryza sativa (indica cultivar-group) chromosome 5, whole genome shotgun sequence.